CUAUGAUUUUACCACAGAUAACACAUAAUCCAGAUGGCUCCUUACGUGUUAAAAAUUGUCACCCCAAUUUCACUCCAAUUUGGAAAAAUAUUGGAGUGACGUUUGAAUAAUCUGAAAUUUUUAGAUUCCUUUUCUAACUUUUUUGGGAGGUUUUGCUUCUCUUGCACAGAUGUCGCUUGCACUUCAGUUGCGUGGUUGCCAAACGUUAUAUCGAAAUAUAUUUCAUUUCAUUAUGAAUAUAUAAAAUUAAAAAUUAUGUAAUUUAUAAACAUGAAAUAGAUAUGGAUGUUAGGUAAUACCGGAUGUUAAAUUAAUAUAUAAAUAUUUAACUUAAUACGUACAUUAUUAUUUUAUUAAUUUAUCGUCACACGUCAUUUACCAGUUGCCUAAUUACGAAAAGUUUCAUAUGAUAUUAACCUCAAAAUGAUCUUUGAAAACAAACAACAACAAAUAACUCAAAGAAAUAACUACAUACUACAUAAUAAUAACUGAUAAUAAUGACUUUUAAUGGUAUAAAGGCUGAUGAAGUUUUAGACAACCAAUACAAGAUUCAGAACUCGGCAUCGCGAUAAACAAGUAAAAUUGUACAUUCAGGAACUCGUUUAAAUAUUAUAGGUUGAUUGAAGAAUAAUCUACAAUUGAUUAGAGCCUAUGACGAUGUGAAGAUAAUUAAUCACCUAACUUUAAGAAACCAGCCUAAAGAAGUUUACAUGCAUCUCAUCUAACCAUUAUAGGUAAUAAUUUACAAAAUUAGUCAUUUUUGAUUAUAAUAUUAUGGUACUUAGGUACAUUUUAUCUUCUAGAUCAGUAGUGAUUUUUCAUAAUUUGAAUGAAGUCACAGAUAGCAAUGGGGCACCGCACCGAAGCAGUAUUACAAAAUGUGAAAUAAAACUGUAGUACAUAUUGCUCUAUAAAAUUUAAUAGAAAUAAAUUUAUUUAUGAAAAUUAAUGAAGUUUUAUCUUUCCUAGGAAAAAAAUAACAAUUAUAUUUUGAACAAUUAAUUUAGAACAUUAGAGUUAAAAAAAUAUACCUAUGUGUUAGAAAUUGUAACACAUAUUUUCUUAACUCUAUGUUAUUCUAACUUAGAAUAACAUAUUUUUAAUAAAAUUGCGCUUAUACUUUAUACUUUUUUGCUAUUAUAUCAAUAAGAACUAACGUAAGGAGCAAUUCAUUUAUACUAUAAACACACAUGCAUAUUUUUUGAUCUUUUUAAAACCAGUGAAUAAUGUUGAAAUAUGCUACACCUAUUAAUUCUUAUUAACUAACUUUAUAGCUAGACAGUUGAAAAUUUUACAGAUAAUGUAUCUAUGUUGCCGCUAUAAGAACAAAUACUAAAAACAGAAUUAAAUAAAUGUUUAUAAAUAAAAAAGUACUUUCACUAAACAUUAUCGUUUAAGUACGAAUUUUACACAGAAUAUUCAAGUCCUCGAGUGGCCGUGUGGUUAAAGGCGUUAGGAUUUGAAGGCGUUGAGACGUAGUGAGGCAGGUUCGAAUCGUAGGCAAGGUGACUUUUUCUUAGUCUUUUUUUUUAUUUUUACAUAUUUUUACAUAUUUAUUUUUACUUAUUUAUUAUUGAUUAAUACAAUUUUUAGCAAUGUAUUUCUUCAUUUUUUUUAAAUUACUUACAAGCGCAUUCAAAAUUUCAGCUAAAUCGGAAAAAAGUUUACAAUAAUAUAAUGUCUGAUGUUGUAU